GCUCCCGUAGUCUAGCCCGGUCAAGGAUAGAGGCCUUUCGAGCCUCGGACGCGGGUUCGAAUCCCGCCGGGAGCA
rnacentral:tRNA from 1 species